CAACCGGGAUUGCCUCAGUAACGGCGAGUGAAGCGGCAAGAGCUCAAAUUUGAAAGCUGGCUCCUUCGGGGUCCGCAUUGUAAUUUGCAGAGGAUGCUUCGGGUGCGGCCCCUGUCUAAGUGCCCUGGAACGGGCCGUCAGAGAGGGUGAGAAUCCCGUCUGGGAUGGGGUGUCCGCGCCCGUGUGAAGCUCCUUCGACGAGUCGAGUUGUUUGGGAAUGCAGCUCUAAAUGGGUGGUAAAUUUCAUCUAAAGCUAAAUACUGGCCGGAGACCGAUAGCGCACAAGUAGAGUGAUCGAAAGAUGAAAAGCACUUUGAAAAGAGAGUUAAAAAGCACGUGAAAUUGUUGAAAGGGAAGCGCUUGCGACCAGACUCGCCUCCAGGGUUCAGCCGGCAUUCGUGCCGGUGUACUUCCCUGGGGGCGGGCCAGCGUCGGUUUGGGCGGCCGGUCAAAGGCUCCCGGAAUGUAGUGCCCUCCGGGGCACCUUAUAGCCGGGAGUGCAAUGCGGCCAGCCUGGACCGAGGAACGCGCUUCGGCACGGACGCUGGCAUAAUGGUCGUAAACGACCCGUCUUGAA
rnacentral:rRNA from 1 species